rnacentral:lncRNA from 1 species
CGCAGCAGCACAACACAGCAGCUCCCUGGCCAGUUGUCCCCUCAGCCUCCGUAAGCCACAGCCUUGGCACAGCAAAGCAGAGGUCUCAGUAGCAGGGUGAAAGAAGUUGCCCUAUCUCACAACCAUUUCUGAGGCAAUAUUUUUACCCUCCAUUCCUUUUUUGAUUCACCUCAAAAGCUGGACAGUAACACCCUACCCCUGUACCACUUCUGCCAUGGAAGGACACAAUCCCAGAGCCCAAGCAGCAGCUCUCUAUAACCUCCCCCUGCUCCACAGGACAAGUUCUGCUCUCUACUCACGGGUUUCCCAGGGAGGCAAUGUCUCACCUGGCAACUUUCCUUGGCACCCCAGACCAUUUCCUUCCAGAAGGAGGCAUGGAAGUUGGGAAAGCCCAGCAGCUUCCAGCAGCUUUGUCCCAACAGGCCCAGAAACAUGCUCUGCUUGCAGAGUAACCAACUGACACAUCUGGUAUCAGGCACAAUUUUUGCUGAAGAAGGGCUCUUCUGUCCCUAUUUUCGGCACCGCCUCAGAGCGAUAAACAAUCAACAGCGGCGGCGAAAGCUGCCCGGGCACAAACUUCUCCCGGGGGCCACGAGCCGCCCCCCGGCCGGGGGAAGCUCGGGGGAAGCGUCCCCCGCCCCGCGGCCGAGCCCCCCGCCCCACCUCGCCGCCCACUCGGCCGGGCUGCGCAAAGGCUCCCCGAGUUUUCCUGCCGGGCUGCGGGGAGGGGGAGGUCAGACCGACACAAACAAGUCCCCUGCCCGCCAUGCCCGCGGCCCCGGAGACAGGCCGAGCACGGAGGGGUGCCCGCCUGCCCCAGCCCUCCGGGAGGGGACGGACGCGGUCCCGCCGCUCUGCCCGGCCACCCCGCGCCCCCUCGUCGCUCCCCGGCACCGACCUGGGACACAAAGGAGCGGCCGCUGCUGCCCGCCGAUCGCCCGUGCUCCCCGCGGAGUCCAGGCCGCGGCAGCACCGGGAUGGCGUAGCGCAGGCAUCCGACGCCAGCGCCUGCUGCUCCCGCGACGGCCCGUGCCGCCGGCGCCCGCUCUGCGCUGGGCGGGGAGGGGAGGGGGGACGCUGGGAGCCGGCCGAGCGCCGCUUCCUGCUGCCCGGCGCCGAGGGGCGAGGGGUGCCGGAGCUGCCGCCGGGGGUGCUGCGCCGGCGGCUAAGCAGAGGCCGCUGGUAGCGGCCGCAUCCUCAGCGCCCGCGCCGGGCUUUCCGUGCCUCCUCAGUCCGGCUCCGAGGAGUCUCCGGUGCGGCUCCCUUGGCGGCCGCUGCUGGCAGGGGGAGCCCCGCUGUCCCCGCGAUGCGCCCGGCCCGCGCUCGUGCUCCCCCUGCCGCCCCGCCGGGCCGGGCCGCGGCUCGGGCCCCUCCCGCGGCUCCGCGGGGCUGGCUUGGGGCAGCCCCGAAGGGCCGGGAGACCCCCGGAGCGGGAGCGACGCGAGCUUAGCCCUCGCUGCUUUCCAGCCGCGGCCCGCUCCCCAGAGACCCCUUCGUGGCGCACGCCGUGGGGCGGGGCAGGCCUGCCCUCUGCCGCGGCCGCCAGAGCUGCCUUCCCGGUGCCCGCUGUCCGGCCUGGGCACGGAGCAGGGAGCAGCCCGCGGGGAAAAGGCUCCCGGGGUGGUGGGGGGCAGCGGCGGGGCCGGCCGGGCUGCGGGGCACCUGCCAGGGGUGCAGCGCUGGAGGUAAUGAGCCUUUACGGGGAAGAGGUUCUCGUUUCUGUAGUAAGACUCUUUCUCGGUACGUGGUACCAAAAUAGAAAUAAAUGGGCUGUAAACGGCGUUAAUGACGCUGGUGGUCUUUAACAUUGAGAAGGAGGGAUGCUGGGCGCUACUGUCUCAUUAACAAGUGCGACAUGUAGCUUGAAAAUUAGUUUGUUCAGAGAACUGUUGGAAACAAAAUGUUUGUCUGAAGAAAAAGAUCCUAUUGUUCCUCCCCUACUAUCUUGCCUUUAUCCGAAAAACAAAAAUUGAAUGUGAAGAGAACUUGCAUAAAAAUAGUUUUUCAGACUCACAACGUGGUCUUCAAUGCCAAGCCUAACCUGUAGCUGUUUUGCAGAGAGGGGAAUUGGAAAGCAGGCAAUUUGCUUGUAAUUAAAGAGGUCUUUCAGUCCAGUCAGGUGGCAGCAAUGUUAAAUUUUAUGUUAGUGUUUGCAUCGAAUUAUUUCAAUAAUUUGGUCUCCAGAUGAUUUAGCAUCCAGACAUGCAAACAAAAAUUGAUUGUGAAGGCAGGGGAGCCAGAUUGAUGCUGGGUUGGGAUAAAUGACAGAGGGAUGAGAAGCUGAUUGCCGUGGAGUACCAGAAGCAUCCUUGUGAGUUUUCAGCAUUUUUUGCUUCUGUGAAAUCUGAUUGAGAUGGUAUUGCUGGCAGAAAUCUACUGCAGGUUACACUCGUGGCUAUUUGGAAAUUUGAUUUUUGUGAAAGAUAUUUCAG